CAGUCAGGCAGGGGGAGAAAGAUGGAAUCACAAUCCCAUGUCCUCAUGUUCCUGCUGCUCUGGGUAUCUGGUACCUGUGGGGACAUUGUGAUGACCCAGUCUCCAUCCUCCCUGGCUGUGACAGCAGGAGAGAAGGUCAUUAUGAGCUGCAAGUCCAGUCAAAGUCUUAUAUGGAGUGUAAAUCAAAAGAACUACUUGUCCUGGUACCAGCAGAAACCAGGGCAGUCUCCUAAACUGCUGAUCUACUGGGCAUCCACUAGGGAAUCUGGGGUCCCUGAUCGCUUCACAGGCAGUGGAUCUGGGACAGAUUUCACUCUCACCAUCAGCAGUGUGCAGGCUGAAGACCUGGCAGUUUAUUACUGUCAGAAUGAUUAUAACUAUCCUCCCACA